GUACUUGAAGUUCCCCCCUUGGCCCUGCAUCUCGGCUUGGGGUGUGUUGCCAUCUCAGCCAGAUAGAUGGCUGUGACUCAGGAGCCUGGGAGUCCAUUUGAGCGCCUCCCCUGGGACACCUGCCGGGCUCCAGCACAGGUUGGGGCUCUCCCCAAAACAGACCUGAAUCGAAGGCUUGGGCGCUGGCAGUGUUUUAAAAGGUGACUCCAGGAAGCAGAAGUGAGAAGUGGGAAGACUGCGACCAGGGGGAGAAAAGCCAACGGAACACAUGAAAAGAUGCUCAGCAUCCCUGAUCAUCAGAGAAAUGCAAAUGAAAACUACAAUGAGAUAUCAUCCCAAACCUGUCAGAAUGGCCAUCAUCAAUAAAUCAACAAACAGCAAGUGCUGGCGAGGAUGUGGAGAAAAGGGAGCCCUUCUGCACUGUGUUUGGGAAUGCGGCCUGGUGCAGCCCCUGUGCAAAGCAGCGUGGAGGUACCUCUUUGGUUUCUUAUAGAGAAAACAUCCCUAAAAUGUGGACUUAGCCUAUGAUUGAGGCACAUGAAAGGAACAGAAGGGAGUGGCCCCGCCUGAUCUCUGGGUUUUGGAUGACGUCAGUUCUACCCAGGUUACUAGGGAAAGAACAGAAUCAUUUCCUCGGCAGGCGUUAAGAGAAUUUGUUUAGACAGAUCCAGGAAAUACAAUCUGAAAACUCGGGGUUUAUCUCACCCUCCACUGUCAAGUUAGA